CAGUAGCCGCGGUAAAACGGAGGGUGCAAGCGUUAAUCGGAAUUACUGGGCGUAAAGCGCACGCAGGCGGUCUGACAAGUCAGAUGUGAAAUCCCCGGGCUUAACCUGGGAACUGCAUUUGAAACUGUCAGGCUGGAGUCUUGUAGAGGGGGGUGGAAUUCCAGGUGUAGCGGUGAAAUGCGUAGAGAUCCGGAGGAAUACCGGUGGCGAAGGCGGCCCCCUGGACAAAGACUGACGCUCAGGUGCGAAAGCGUGGGGAGCAAACAGGAUUAGAUACCCCUGUAGUCCCUGUCUCUUAUAC
rnacentral:rRNA from 1 species